GCGGGCAUAGUUUAGUGGUAAAACCUUAGCCUUCCAAGCUAAUGAUGGGAGUUCGAUUCUCCCUGCUCGCU
rnacentral:tRNA from 1 species